rnacentral:lncRNA from 11 species
CUCUCUACAAACCUGUUAGAAAUCUAUAAUCAUCUGAGGAAGGCGUUGUCUUCCCCUGUCCAUCUCAAGCUCAUUUCAUGGGGAAAAGGGAGAGGUCGGUGACUGUUCCCAGACCUUGGAACUCCUUCCCAAGAGAGACCAAGAUGGCCCCAUCCUUGUUUGCCUUUGACAGUACUCAGAAAAACCAAGGCAUAUUCUAGACGGACCGGAUCUAAAAACUAGCCGAAACAGAUGCAGAGAAUCGACCUCAUCCAAAUAUUCCUGGAGUUUCGUGGGAGCCACCUGUUCCAAGUCUAUUGUCCAGUAGUAAGGAUUAAUGGAUAUGAAGCUAAGAAAGGGUGAUGAAAUGCUUAUAGACCACAGCUACUCUUGAGAUGGAUGCUGAUGAAAAAGAUCUCCCAUUCUUGUCCAUUCAGGUGUUGGUAAUGCAAACCAGAUGCAGUGUUGUUUGAUCCUUGGCUACAGUGUUGAUUAUUGAGCCUAUAGUAUACAGGUGUUG